rnacentral:rRNA from 1 species
GGACGGGUGAGUAAUGCCUAGGAAAUUGCCUUGAUGUGGGGGAUAACCAUUGGAAACGAUGGCUAAUACCGCAUAAUGCCUACGGGCCAAAGAGGGGGACCUUCGGGCCUCUCGCGUCAAGAUAUGCCUAGGUGGGAUUAGCUAGUUGGUGAGGUAAUGGCUCACCAAGGCGACGAUCCCUAGCUGGUCUGAGAGGAUGAUCAGCCACACUGGAACUGAGACACGGUCCAGACUCCUACGGGAGGCAGCAGUGGGGAAUAUUGCACAAUGGGCGAAAGCCUGAUGCAGCCAUGCCGCGUGUAUGAAGAAGGCCUUCGGGUUGUAAAGUACUUUCAGUUGUGAGGAAGGGGGUAGUGUUAAUAGCGCUAUCUCUUGACGUUAGCAACAGAAGAAGCACCGGCUAACUCCGUGCCAGCAGCCGCGGUAAUACGGAGGGUGCGAGCGUUAAUCGGAAUUACUGGGCGUAAAGCGCAUGCAGGUGGUUCAUUAAGUCAGAUGUGAAAGCCCGGGGCUCAACCUCGGAACUGCAUUUGAAACUGGUGAACUAGAGUACUGUANAGGGGGGUAGAAUUUCAGGUGUAGCGGUGAAAUGCGUAGAGAUCUGAAGGAAUACCAGUGGCGAAGGCGGCCCCCUGNACAGAUACUGACACUCAGAUGCGAAAGCG